rnacentral:rRNA from 1 species
UACGUAGGGGGCAAGCGUUGUCCGGAAUCAUUGGGCGUAAAGCGCGUGUAGGCGGUUCGGUAAGUCUGCUGUGAAAGUCCAGGGCUCAACCCUGGGAUGCCGGUGGAUACUGUCGGACUAGAGUACGGAAGAGGCGAGUGGAAUUCCCGGUGUAGCGGUGAAAUGCGCAGAUAUCGGGAGGAACACCAAUUGCGAAGGCAGCUCGCUGGGACGUUACUGACGCUGAGACGCGAAAGCCAGGGGAGCAAACGGG